rnacentral:rRNA from 1 species
CCCAAAAGAGGGGGAUAACACUUGGAAACAGGUGCUAAUACCGCAUAACCAUGGUUACCGCAUGGUAACUAUGUAAAAGGUGGCUAUGCUACCGCUUUUGGAUGGGCCCGCGGCGCAUUAGCUAGUUGGUGAGGUAAAGGCUUACCAAGGCAAUGAUGCGUAGCCGAACUGAGAGGUUGAUCGGCCACAUUGGGACUGAGACACGGCCCAAACUCCUACGGGAGGCAGCAGUAGGGAAUCUUCCACAAUGGGCGAAAGCCUGAUGGAGCAACGCCGCGUGGGUGAAGAAGGUCUUCGGAUCGUAAAACCCUGUUGUUAGAGAAGAAAGUGCGUGAGAGUAACUGUUCACGUUUCGACGGUAUCUAACCAGAAAGCCACGGCUAACUACGUGCCAGCAGCCGCGGUAAUACGUAGGUGGCAAGCGUUAUCCGGAUUUAUUGGGCGUAAAGGGAACGCAGGCGGUCUUUUAAGUCUGAUGUGAAAGCCUUCGGCUUAACCGGAGUAGUGCAUUGGAAACUGGGAGACUUGAGUGCAGAAGAGGAGAGUGGAACUCCAUGUGUAGCGGUGAAAUGCGUAGAUAUAUGGAAGAACACCAGUGGCGAAAGCGGCUCUCUGGUCUGUAACUGACGCUGAGGUUCGAAAGCGUGGGUAGCAAACAGGAUUAGAUACCCUGGUAGUCCACGCCGUAAACGAUGAAUGCUAAGUGUUGGAGGGUUUCCGCCCUUCAGUGCGCAAGCUAACGCAAUAAGCAUUCCGCCUGGGGGAAGUACGACCGCAAGGUAGAAACUCAAAGGAAUUGACGGGGGCCCGCACAAGCGGUGGAGCAUGUGGUUUAAUUCGAAGCAACGCGAAGAACCUUACCAGGUCUUGACAUCUUCUGACAAUCCUAGAGAUAGGACUUUCCCUUCGGGGACAGAAUGACAGGUGGUGCAUGGUUGUCGUCAGCUCGUGUCGUGAGAUGUUGGGUUAAGUCCCGCAACGAGCGCAACCCUUAUUGUUAGUUGCCAGCAUUAAGUUGGGCACUCUAGCAAGACUGCCGGUGACAAACCGGAGGAAGGUGGGGAUGACGUCAAAUCAUCAUGCCCCUUAUGACCUGGGCUACACACGUGCUACAAUGGACGGUACAACGAGAAGCGAACCUGCGAAGGCAAGCGGAUCUCUUAAAGCCGUUCUCAGUUCGGACUGUAGGCUGCAACUCGCCUACACGAAGCUGGAAUCGCUAGUAAUCGCGGAUCAGCACGCCGCGGUGAAUACAAUCCCGGGCCUUGUACUCACCGCCCGUCA